rnacentral:rRNA from 1 species
GAUGAACGCUGGCGGCGUGCCUAAUACAUGCAAGUCGAGCGAACGGACGAGAAGCUUGCUUCUCUGAUGUUAGCGGCGGACGGGUGAGUAACACGUGGAUAACCUACCUAUAAGACUGGGAUAACUUCGGGAAACCGGAGCUAAUACCGGAUAAUAUUUUGAACCGCAUGGUUCAAAAGUGAAAGACGGUCUUGCUGUCACUUAUAGAUGGAUCCGCGCUGCAUUAGCUAGUUGGUAAGGUAACGGCUUACCAAGGCAACGAUGCAUAGCCGACCUGAGAGGGUGAUCGGCCACACUGGAACUGAGACACGGUCCAGACUCCUACGGGAGGCAGCAGUAGGGAAUCUUCCGCAAUGGGCGAGAGCCUGACGGAGCAACGCCGCGUGAGUGAUGAAGGUCUUCGGAUCGUAAAACUCUGUUAUUAGGGAAGAACAUAUGCGUAAGUAACUGUGCACAUCUUGACGGUACCUAAUCAGAAAGCCACGGCUAACUACGUG